AGGGGUAAACCUGAGAAACCCGAAAGGUCGAAGGGAGAAAUUCAUUCGCGUUUCGCCGUUGGCGGGAGACGGUCGUGUGACGGGGGACGUUCGCGCGUUUUCCGCACCUUUCGUCUGUCGAUCCGAUAGCGAACGCGUGCACUUUUCUCCUGGUAGGACGUCGCGAUCCGUUGGGUGUCGGUCUACGGCUCGCGGUGGAGCCCGGACGUACGGUUCGCCGUCACGUUCGGACCCGCGUGUCCCGGCUGACUCGCUCGACGGUAUACGAAAGGUUUAAGGCCGCUCUCUUAGAGCGUUCGGCUCGCUGCAAGCGCGUCAGAUGUGUCGGCGAUCGGACCUAGUGCCGGUUCUGACCUCUGGCGACUGUUGGCCGCGAAGUUCUCGAACAGACCUCACAGUUUAGACCGAUCUGCGACGCUAUAGCUUUGGGUACUUUCAGGACCCGUCUUGAAACACGGACCAAGGAGUCUAGCAUGUGCGCGAGUCAUUGGGAAUCACUAAACCUAAAGGCGCAAUGAAAGUAAAAGUCCGCCUCGCGCGGACUUAGGGAAGACGGGCGGUUUACCCUUAAAAGUGGCCGCUCCGCACUCCCGGGGCGUCUCAUUCUCAUCGCGAGAAGAGGCGCACCAAGAGCGUACACGCUGGGACCCGAAAGAUGGUGAACUAUGCCUGGUCAGGACGAAGUCAGGGGAAACCCUGAUGGAGGUCCGUAGCGAUUCUGACGUGCAAAUCGAUCGUCGGAACUGGGUAUAGGGGCGAAAGACUAAUCG
rnacentral:rRNA from 1 species